rnacentral:rRNA from 1 species
AGUGAACGCUGGCGGUAGGCCUAACACAUGCAAGUCGAACGGCAGCACAGUAAGAGCUUGCUCUUACGGGUGGCGAGUGGCGGACGGGUGAGGAAUACAUCGGAAUCUACUUUUUCGUGGGGGAUAACGUAGGGAAACUUACGCUAAUACCGCAUACGACCUACGGGUGAAAGCAGGGGAUCUUCGGACCUUGCGCGAUUGAAUGAGCCGAUGUCGGAUUAGCUAGUUGGCGGGGUAAAGGCCCACCAAGGCGACGAUCCGUAGCUGGUCUGAGAGGAUGAUCAGCCGCACUGGAACUGAGACACGGUCCAGACUCCUACGGGAGGCAGCAGUGGGGAAUAUUGGACAAUGGGCGAAAGCCUGAUCCAGCCAUACCGCGUAGGUGAAGAAGGCCUUCGGGUUGUAAAGCCCUUUUGUUGGGAAAGAAAAGCAGCAGGUUAAUACCCCGCUGUUCUGACGGUACCCAAAGAAUAAGCACCGGCUAACUUCGUG